rnacentral:rRNA from 1 species
GGAAAGAUGAAAAGAACUUUGAAAAGAGAGUUAAACAGUACGUGAAAUUGUUGAAAGGGAAACGAUUGAAGGCAGUCAUACCAACGGGAAAUCAACCUUUUGAAUUUGGUCUUGUGGGUUUCGGAGAGUUUAAAAGCCUUCGGAUUCGUUCGGAUUGGGCUCUUUUGGUGUACUUUCUCGUACGGUUAGUCAACAUCGGUUUUGAAUGUCAUAAAAUGACCGGAGGAAUGUGGCUUCGAUCUCGUAUCGAAGUGUUAUAGCCUUUGGUAGAUGUGAUGUUCGAGUCCGAGGAUUGCAACGGAUACCCUUCUGGGCUAUUCGUCUGAUCUCUGAUACGUUGCCUUGAUGUCGAAAGCUUGCUUAUGAUGUUAGGGUAUUACGGUCAAAAGGUUAGAACGGAUUAAAUUCGUUAAGGAUGUUGACGUAAUGACUUUAAACGACCCGUCUUGAAACACGGACCA